GCCGGGGUGGCGUAGUUGGUAGCGCGUCGGACUCAUAAUCCGAAGGUCGCGGGUUCGAGUCCCGCUCCCGGCACCA
rnacentral:tRNA from 1 species